rnacentral:hammerhead_ribozyme from 1 species
AUCCAGCUGAGGAGUCUCAGAUAGAACGAAACGCACGUCCUGGAC